UACGUAGGGUGCAAGCGUUAAUCGGAAUUACUGGGCGUAAAGCGUGCGCAGGCGGCUUUGCAAGACAGAUGUGAAAUCCCUGGGCUCAACCUGGGAACUGCAUUUGUGACUGCAAGGCUAGAGUACGGUAGAGGGGGAUGGAAUUCCGCGUGUAGCAGUGAAAUGCGUAGAUAUGCGGAGGAACACCGAUGGCGAAGGCAAUCCCCUGGACCUGUACUGACGCUCAUGCACGAAAGCGUGGGGAGCAAACAGG
rnacentral:rRNA from 1 species